rnacentral:rRNA from 1 species
UACGGGGGGGGCAAGCGUUGUUCGGAAUUAUUGGGCGUAAAGCGCGUGUAGGCGGCGUGGCAAGUCGGGUGUGAAAGCCCUCAGCUCAACUGAGGAAGUGCGCCCGAAACUGCUGUGCUUGAGUGCCGGAGAGGGUGGCGGAAUUCCCCAAGUAGAGGUGAAAUUCGUAGAUAUGGGGAGGAACACCGGUGGCGAAGGCGGCCACCUGGACGGUAACUGACGCUGAGACGCGAAAGCGUGGGGAGCAAACAGG